rnacentral:rRNA from 1 species
UACGGAGGGGGCUAGCGUUGUUCGGAAUUACUGGGCGUAAAGCGCACGUAGGCGGCUUUGCAAGUUAGAGGUGAAAGCCCGGGGCUCAACCCCGGAAUUGCCUUUAAAACUGCAUCGCUAGAAUUGUGGAGAGGUAAGUGGAAUUCCGAGUGUAGAGGUGAAAUUCGUAGAUAUCGGAAGGAACACCUGUGGCGAAAGCGGCUCACUGGACCACAACUGACGCUGAGGCACGAAAGCUAGGGGAGCAAACAGG